UGGGGAAUAUUGGACAAUGGGCGCAAGCCUGAUCCAGCAAUGCCGCGUGUGUGAAGAAGGCCUUCGGGUUGUAAAGCACUUUUAUCAGGAGCGAAACGCUGUCGGCUAAUACCCGGCGGAACUGACGGUACCUGAGGAAUAAGCACCGGCUAACUUCGUGCCAGCAGCCGCGGUAAUACGAAGGGUNCAAGCGUUAAUCGGAAUUACUGGGCGUAAAGCGUGCGUAGGCGGUUUCUUAAGUCUGCUGUGAAAUCCCCGGGCUCAACCUGGGAAUGGCAGUGGAUACUGGGAGGCUAGAGUGUGUCAGAGGGCGGUGGAAUUCCCGGUGUAGCGGUGAAAUGCGUAGAGAUCGGGAGGAACAUCAGUGGCGAAGGCGGCCACCUGGGACAACACUGACGCUGAGGCACGAAAAGCGUGGGGGAGCAAACAGGAUUAGAUACCCUGGUAGUCCACGCCCCUAAAACGAUGCGAACUGGAUGUUGGUCUCGACUCGGAGAUCAGUGUCGAAGCUAACGCGUUAAGUUCGCCGCCUGGGGGAGUACGGUCGCAAGACUGAAACUCAAAGGAA
rnacentral:rRNA from 1 species